rnacentral:rRNA from 1 species
AANCCUUUAUACUGCGAAACUGCGAACGGCUCAUUAUAUCAGUUAUAAUCUACUUGAUCGUAUCCUCUUACUUGGAUAACCGUAGUAAUUCUAGAGCUAAUACAUGCAAAAGUUCCCGACUGGUGACGGAAGGGAAGUAUUUAUUAGGUCCAAAAUCAAUGCUGGCCAUUCCAAACUGGGUGGGUAAAUGUGCCGGGCCACGAGACUUGAGAAGAUACAAACUCAAAGCUAAGCACAGUGCGCUUUUCCCCGCCGGUGAAAAAAAGGUUUUUCCCCCUACUAAUUUGAUAGGAAAAGANAGGGGGAAAAAGGGGGCCNCAGGGGAAAGGGGAAAAAANACGGGUUAUGGGGGCGACGAUUCCUUCGAAUUUCUGCCCCAUCAACUCUCGAUGGUAGGAUAGAGGCCUACCAUGGUCGCAACGGGUAACGGGGANA